rnacentral:lncRNA from 1 species
CGGGAGCCCGGGGGUGGCACGCCUUGCAGGAGGGGGCAGCCAGGGACAGGGAGCAGCAGGAUUGCUAGCGGUGUGUUUCUGGCCGUGCAUCUCCAGACUUCUGCAUUUCUGUGGCAGCAGCCCAGCCCGAGGCUCAGGGUGAGGAGGCAUGCCUGGGCAUGUCUGGUGGGGCAGGCUGGUGAGGACGCCACUUGCAUGAAGACAGCAGGAUCCCUGGAGCCGAGACUGGACUCGGAGGCGUGGGGCCGGAGCGACCAGGGCCGGCUCGGGACAUCCAAGCUCUGCAGACCGCCGCCACCGCCGAUUCCGCAGGUGGCCACUGGGCGUCGCAGCCGCCCGCGUUGUGCGGUCUUCAUCCUGGCGGCGCAUCCUGCCUUCCGCCUUCCCCAAUCCCCAGCUGGGAGCCGGGCUCCUGGGGGCGCAGGAGAGAGGAGGCCAGGGGACGGGGCACCUUCCCGGAGCCUGGGGGCGGCUCCCGGGCUGUCGGCAGGGCUGAAUAAGGCUCAGGGUCAUUUCAAGAGAGAUGGAGGUGGGUGGUUUGGGCUGCUAGCGGGUGAUGCAGGGUAGAGUGGGGAGGGGUGGAGCAAGGAGGAGGAUUGCUCGGAUCUCUUUUUCCUUGGGGAAGCCCUCUCUGGAGUAGAAUGGGCUGGAAAAUUGCAUUUGGAGAGUGGAGGAGAAAAUAUCUCUGCACACAGAUUUGGGGAGGGGCGUGGGGGUUCCUCCACUGUUUGACAAACACACAGCGCUUACCAUGUGCCAGGCAUUUUACAAAGGUUAACUCCUUGAACCCAUGCAGCAACCCCACAACCUCAUUUACAGGUGAGGACACAGCGGCACAGCUUACCUGGUUGGUGAGUGGGUGAUGGGAUCCAACCCUGGCAGGCCGGCUGACAGGCACUUCUGCAGCCUCCCCUCAGGGCUGGAACCUUCCUCACAGGGCGGAUAGAAUGUGCUGGAGGGGAGGCAGGCCUGGGCGUGCCAACUUUGUGUACAGUUUAGCUCUGAUGCCCUCCUGCUGCAUCCAUGCAUUCAACAAAUGUUAAUGUAGGGCUUCCUGCUUGCCAGGCCUGGGGCACCUGGGGCAGGCACCUGGGCUCCAGCAGUCAGCAGAACCCGCCACAGUCCUUGUCCUUGUGGAGCUAGUGGGGGAGACGGAGAGUAGUUAAACAAUCCCACCAAGGACAUUUACUGAGAUUAGCGUUCUAGAGAAAGGAGUGCUGCUUUCCUCUUUAGCCCCACUCUUCCUCCUGGGCUCCCAUCCUCUCCCACCCCAGGCCCACUUGGCACGUCUGGGCCCUAAUGUGUCUACUAAGAUGCUAGCUCAGAACUAAGGGGCUGGAUGGUUAACUUAGUUGCAAGCCCCUUGCGACAUAGAAAGCAGAUCACGUCCGUUGUCUUCUUUGGCCUUGUCUGGAUGGGCUGGCGUGAUUCUCCUGGGGAGGCAGGCUUUUUCAAAGGGGAUGCUUCAAUCCAGAAAAGAAUCUGGGCGAGACUGGAAAACGUCUUUGGUUCCAGACUUUCUGAAUCCAGACUGUCACCUGGUUUGUAGUGUUUGCCAAUCUCUGUGGUGCCUCUGUUGGCGGAUUUCAGUAACCUGUGUGAUGUCACUGAGUGAGGACUGAGUGAGGAGAUGCACAGCCUGAGUGACCACGCUCCGGCACACCGGCGGUGGUGGUGUCUCUCUCUGGUUGUGUGAAUUGAGGCCAGUGAUUCGUAACUUCAGUUUCUUCAUCUGUAAAAUGGGCUAAUAAUCCCUCCCUCAAGUGUUGGUGUGAGGAUUUAAUGACUUACUGUUGUCCCUGCCUAUCUCACUGAACCCUUAGAACGGCCUUACUCGUUCUAAUUAUUUGGUUUCAUGCCUGUUUCUCCAAUGAACUGUGAACUUAAAAGUAGGGGUCAUGUCACAUUCGUCUCUGUAUCCCCAGUGUCCAGCACAGGGCCUGGCACAUGGUAAGUGCUCAAUAAAUGUGUCCCUUUCAACCCAAAG